AAGUCGUAACAAGGUUUCCGUAGGUGAACCUGCGGUAUCCAAACUUUAAACCCCCCUGUGAACCUUCAGUCGUACUCGUACGUCCGUUAGAACCGGGAAAACAACGCCGAACAGUUUUCGAUUCAGGGACGUCUGCAAGGAGCGUGCAUGUGCGUGUAAGUGGCCUCCCCAAGCAGUUAGUGUCUGAAAGUGCCACUAACGUUAGUGUCUGAAAGUGUCACUCGCAUGUGUAAGGAUGACGCAGUCACGAUCGUUGGAGGCCCACACGGCCGACGACCGGGUCACCGGGCGCAAGCCCCCUUAUCACACCCCUGCUCUAUCUAUGGUGAUCCUGCGGGAAGUCCUGCGGUCGAACGCCGAAACGGAACAACUGUUAACAAUGGAUAUCUUGGUUCUC
rnacentral:misc_RNA from 1 species